rnacentral:rRNA from 1 species
CCUACGGGAGGCAGCAGUUGGGCGAAAGCCUGAUCCAGCAAUGCCGCGUGAGUGAUGAAGGCCUUCGGGUCGUAAAGCUCUUUUACCAGGGAUGAUAAUGACAGUACCUGGAGAAUAAGCUCCGGCUAACUCCGUGCCAGCAGCCGCGGUAAUACGGAGGGAGCUAGCGUUGUUCGGAAUUACUGGGCGUAAAGAGUACGUAGGCGGCUAUUCAAGUCAGAGGUGAAAGCCCGGGGCUCAACCCCGGAACUGCCUUUGAAACUAGGUAGCUAGAAUCUUGGAGAGGUCAGUGGAAUUCCGAGUGUAGAGGUGAAAUUCGUAGAUAUUCGGAAGAACACCAGUGGCGAAGGCGACUGACUGGACAAGUAUUGACGCUGAGGUACGAAAGCGUGGGGAGCAAACAGGAUUAGAUACCCUGGUAGUCCACGCCGUAAACGAUGAUAACUAGUUGUUCGGUCACUUGGUGACUGAGUGACGCAGCUAACGCAUUAAGUUUCCGCCUGGGAGAACGUCAACAUUC